AAGCGAAGCGGUGACGUGGAGCAAACUUAGAAAAGCAGUCUCAGUUCGGAUUGAAGGCUGAAAUUCGCCUUUAUGAAGCCGGAAUUGCUAGUAAUGGCAGGUCAGCAUACUGCCGUGAAUACGUUCCCGGGCCUUGUACACACCGCCCGUCACACCAUGAGAGUUGGGGAUACCCGAAGCCUGUGAGCCAACAGUAAUGAGGCAGCAGUCGAAGGUAGAAUCAAUGAUUGGGGUGAAGUCGUAACAAGGUACC
rnacentral:rRNA from 1 species